GUCGAGCGGUACAGGAGAAAGCUUGCUUUCUUGCUGACGAGCGGCGGACGGGUGAGUAAUGUAUGGGGAUCUGCCCGAUAGAGGGGGAUAACUACUGGAAACGGUGGCUAAUACCGCAUAAUGUCUACGGACCAAAGCAGGGGCUCUUCGGACCUUGCACUAUCGGAUGAACCCAUAUGGGAUUAGCUAGUAGGUGGGGUAAAGGCUCACCUAGGCGACGAUCUCUAGCUGGUCUGAGAGGAUGAUCACCCACACUGGGACUGAGACACGGCCCACACUCCUACGGGAGGCAGCAGUGGGGAAUAUUGCACAAUGGGCGCAAGCCUGAUGCACCCAUGCCGCGUGUAUGAAAAAGGCCUUAGGGUUGUAAAGUACUUUCAGCGGGGAGGAAGGUGAUAAGGUUAAUACCCUUAUCAAUUGACGUUACCCGCAAAAGAAGCACCGGCUAACUCCGUGCCAGCAGCCGCGGUAAUACGGAGGGUGCAAGCGUUAAUCGGAAUUACUGGGCGUAAAGCGCACGCAGGCGGUCAAUUAAGUC
rnacentral:rRNA from 1 species